rnacentral:rRNA from 1 species
UACGAAGGUGGCAAGCGUUGUUCGGAUUUACUGGGCGUAAAGGGAGCGUUAGGUGGUUAGGUAAGCCCUCCGGGAAAUCUUCAGGCUUAACCUAGAAAAGGUCGGGGGGGACUGCCUAGCUAGAGGGCGGGAGAGGAGCGCGGAAUUCCCGGUGUAGCGGUGAAAUGCGCAGAUAUCAAGGAGGAACACCCGUGGCGAAAGCGGCUCUCUGGGACGGUACUGACGCUGAGACGCGAAAGCGUGGGGAGCAAACAGG